rnacentral:rRNA from 1 species
UGGGGAAUCAUGGUCAAUGGGCGAAAGCCUGAACCUGCGACGCCGCGUGAGUGAUGAAGGUCGUAAGAUCGUAAAACUCUUUUCAGGGAUCUUAAAGCACAACCGUCAACAACGGCUGUGUGUGACUCUCCCUGGAAGAAGCCCCAGCCAACUACGUGCCAGCAGCUGCAGUAAUACGUAGGGGGCGAGCGUUAUUCGGAAUUACUGGGUGUAAAGGGUAUGUAGGCGGCCCUUCAAGUCGCGUGUCAAAGUCCAGUGCUCAACGCUGGGUGUGCGCGCGAUACUGACGGGCUUGAGGGCUGGAGAGGUGAGCGGAAUUCCCGGUGUAGAGGUGAAAUUCGUAGAGAUCGGGAGGAAUAUCAGUGGCGAAGGCGCCCAUCUGGACGGUAACUGACGCUGAGACGCGAAAGCGUGGGGAGCAAACA